rnacentral:rRNA from 1 species
UACGUAGGGGGCUAGCGUUGUCCGGAUUUAUUGGGCGUAAAGAGCGUGUAGGCGGCCAGAUAGGUCCGUUGUGAAACCUGGAGGCUUAACCUCGAGCUGUCGGCGGAAACCAUCUGGCUAGAGUCCGGAAGAGGAGAAUGGAAUUCCCGGUGUAGCGGUGAAAUGCGCAGAUAUCGGGAAGAACACCCGGGGCGAAGGCGGUUCUCUGGGACGGUACUGACGCUGAGACGCGAAAGCGUGGGGAGCGAACAGG